GGCUUCAUGGUCGAGUGGUAAGGACACUUGUGUCGCACCCUGGAGUCCCGGGUUCGAUACCCGGUAGAGGAGCUA